rnacentral:rRNA from 1 species
AACGCUGGCGGCAGGCUUAACACAUGCAAGUCGAGCGGGCGUAGCAAUACGUCAGCGGCAGACGGGUGAGUAACGCGUGGGAACGUACCUUUUGGUUCGGAACAACACAGGGAAACUUGUGCUAAUACCGGAUAAGCCCUUACGGGGAAAGAUUUAUCGCCGAAAGAUCGGCCCGCGUCUGAUUAGCUAGUUGGUGAGGUAACGGCUCACCAAGGCGACGAUCAGUAGCUGGUCUGAGAGGAUGAUCAGCCACAUUGGGACUGAGACACGGCCCAAACUCCUACGGGAGGCAGCAGUGGGGAAUAUUGGACAAUGGGCGCAAGCCUGAUCCAGCCAUGCCGCGUGAGUGAUGAAGGCCCUAGGGUUGUAAAGCUCUUUUGUGCGGGAAGAUAAUGACGGUACCGCAAGAAUAAGCCCCGGCUAACUUCGUGCCAGCAGCCGCGGUAAUACGAAGGGGGCUAGCGUUGCUCGGAAUCACUGGGCGUAAAGGGUGCGUAGGCGGG